rnacentral:rRNA from 1 species
GCAUAUCAAUAAGCGGAGGAAAAGAAACCAACAGGGAUUACCUCAGUAACGGCGAGUGAAGCGGUAACAGCUCAAAUUUGAAAUCUGGCUCUUUUAGGGUCCGAGUUGUAAUUUGUAGAAGAUGCUUUGGGCGUGGCUCCGGUCUAAGUUCCUUGGAACAGGACGUCAUAGAGGGUGAGAAUCCCGUAUGUGACUGGUAGCUUUCGCCCGUGUAAAGCUCUUUCGACGAGUCGAGUUGUUUGGGAAUGCAGCUCAAAAUGGGUGGUAAAUUUCAUCUAAAGCUAAAUAUUGGCCAGAGACCGAUAGCGCACAAGUAGAGUGAUCGAAAGAUGAAAAGCACUUUGGAAAGAGAGUUAAACAGUACGUGAAAUUGUUGAAAGGGAAGCGCUUGCAACCAGACUCGCAGGCCGUCGAUCAUCCAGGGUUCUCCCCGGUGCACUCGGCGGUUUUCGGGCCAGCAUCGGUUUGGGUGGUGGGAUAAAGGCCUUGGGAAUGUAGCUUCUUUCGGGGAGUGUUAUAGCCCUCGGUGCAAUGCCGCCUACCCGGACCGAGGACCGCGCUUCGGCUAGGAUGCUGGCGUAAUGGUUGUAAGCGACCCGUCUUGAAACACGGACCAAGGAGUCUAACAUCUAUGCGAGUAUUUGGGUGUUAAACCCAUAUGCGUAAUGAAAGUGAACGGAGGUGAGAACCCUUAAGGGUGCAUCAUCGACCGAUCCUGAUGUCUUCGGAUGGAUUUGAGUAAGAGCAUAGCUGUUGGGACCCGAAAGAUGGUGAACUAUGCCUAAAUAGGGUGAAGCCAGAGGAAACUCUGGUGGAGGCUCGCAGCGGUUCUGACGUGCAAAUCGAUCGUCAAAUUUGGGUAUAGGGGCGAAAGACUAAUCGAACCAUCUAGUAGCUGGUUCCUGCCGAAGUU